UCCAGACUCCUACGGGAGGCAGCAGUGGGGGAUAUUGCACAAUGGGGGGAACCCUGAUGCAGCGACGCCGCGUGGGUGAAGGAGCGUUUCGGCGCGUAAAGCCCUAUCGGCAGGGAAGAAGGAGGACGGUACCUGACUAAGAAGCCCCGGCUAACUACGUGCCCGCAGCCGCGGUAAUACGUAGGGGGCAAGCGUUAUCCGGGUUUACUGGGUGUAAAGGGGGCGCAGACGGCAGCGCAAGCCAGGAGUGAAAGCCCGGGGCCCAACCCCGGGACUGCUCUUGGAACUGCGCGGCUGGAGUGCAGGAGGGGCAGGCGGAAUUCCUGGUGUAGCGGUGAAAUGCGUAGAUAUCAGGAGGAACACCGGUGGCGAAGGCGGCCUGCUGGACUGCGACUGACGUUGAGGCCCGAAAGCGUGGGGAGCAAACAGGAUUAGAUACCCCCGUAGUC
rnacentral:rRNA from 1 species